GAGGUGGCACAGGUUUUUUACCGUUUCCCCUGUCCUGGAGCGGCCAAAGGAGAACGGUGUCAGGCCGCUCACAUCCU
rnacentral:sRNA from 12 species